CAGUGACCUGUUGAAUUAUAAAUACCGGAUAGAAAAGAGAAAAAUCGAUGAAAUACUUUAGUGAAUUAAUUUAGCCUAGACACUUUGGGCUUGCAAAACAAGAUGGAUCGGAAUGUUUUCAUCUGGACGAGCAAAAAAAUCCAUUACGACCGGAACACACAGUGGUGGCGGAGAAGAAUUUAUCCAUCUCUUUUUAUUCGUUGUUGACGUCAGUCCGUCGUGGCUUUCUCGGUACUUUCUCUCUGGCGUGUGUUGAAACUCGUUUAUUAGGUGAUUUUCAGAAGCUGUUUUUGCGAUCAACAGAGAGAGUGUACAUGUGAUCCAUUACGAGCCUCGUCGCUUGGCUGAACUCCGUGUGUGCUGCUGUUUGGACAGUUAUCUCUACCUUGGACUGUACACGCGUCACGAGUCAUGAAAGCUUAGAUCCGUCGAAGGUGUGUGUAUAGCUAGCUGCAAGAGAGACUCGGGGGAGUGUAGGGAAAAAACUGCCUGAUGGGCAUAAAAAAAAAGGGGAGGGGGAAUAUUACAUCCUAAAGAUAUGAGGCGGAAGUAAAAAGAAAAUGAAAGUGCUUCUGAGAGCGAACUCGUGUUCUUCUUCUUCCUUUGCACCGAUUUCUUUUUUUUGGGUAACGCUCCCGCGGCCAAGUUUGCCGGACGCUGAGCAUGCGUCUUUCAGUUGCGAAAGAAUGUUAUGCAGUUUCCUUUUUAUUUUUUAAAUCCCUAAAAAAAAACAGUGAGAAAAAUGGAGGUUUGCAAAUUGAUAACAUUGUAAGGCACCUACAUUCUCAUGGCAACAAUGGCAGAUUUAAAUUUUAAAUUAGUUUGUAUACGUACAAAGUGUCGCAGUUUUUUUUUCUUGUUCCUUAUUUUUCUUUAGAAAAUAAUAAUUAACUCGUAACAAGUUGGAGAUAAAAAAAUUAAGAAAAAGUUUCUGAAAAUGCAACGCUGUUAAUGAAAACGUCAUGAGCACAUUUCGUCGAACCCGCGAGAACUGCGAGACGAAUGUUUAAAUGUGCCAUUUCCGUCUGUUUUCAAAUGAUUUUAUGAUUUGAAAUGAUUGGCUUUUUCUUCAACUGCAUUCAAGUUGAAUGCAGGAUGAGUUUUUUCCCUUGAAAUCGGCGUGUGUGCUGGUCAAAUAGACAACAGUUCUGCUGUUGAGAGGAAAAAAGUUUGGGCUCAGUAUGACCUUGGGCCAGUGCCAGCAUCAAUAAUAACCAGCUUUUCUCGGCAGAUGCUGCAAUAUUUCCCUGAAUAUUAAUGAAGCCUCAACCAAGCAAAGAAGCCCUUUUCUCCCCGGCCCUGCAGAGAAAUUUUUUCGAUUCCUUUUUGGAAAACGUCAAUUCAACUAGAAAAGCAAGUGGCCUGCACACCCCAGCACACGAGACUAUUCGUGAUACGGUCGGGAAACCUCGGAAGAUGAAAUGGAUCGCAGGAAUAAACACAAACAAAUGGAAAUGAGUU